rnacentral:lncRNA from 1 species
GAGACGGAGUUUCACUCGUACUGCUGCCCAGGCUAUAUAGUGCAAUGGCACCAUCUUGGCUCACCACAACCUCCGCCUCCCAGGUUCAAGCGAUUCUCCUGCCUCAGCCUCCCGAGUAGCUUGGAUUACAGGCAUGCACCGCCACGCCCAGCUAAUUUUGUAUUUUUAGUAAAGAUGGAGUUUCUCCAUGUUGGUCGGGCUGGUCUCAAACUCCCGACCUCAGGUGAUCCUCCCGCCUCGGCCUCCCAAAGUGCUGGGAUUACAGGCAUGAGCCAUGGCACCCGGCCAGGCUGAGAAUUCUUAAGACAGGAUUUUUUAAGGAUAGUUUGGUAAGCAUGGGGCUAGGGGAUGGGUUGAUGUGUUGGGUACUAUGGGGAACGUGGAAGUGGAGAAUAGUGUGGACUUUUGAAAGGAUGUCUGCCUAGGAGUGGAGUUGGGCAUGAGGGCAGGACUAAAAAAGAGUGAGUGAAGGAAAAGGGGUACGUGUCUUCUGGCCAGGGAAUGUGUCUUCCGGCUGGCUCUCUUCCUGCUUCUGCUAUCUUGCUGACACACGCUGCUGGUGCAAGUGGCGUUGUGCCUUGGGACUGGGCCUGAGAAGGGGGGAGUUACUCAUCCCUUCAAGCUUUGGGUCCCCGGGGAGAAUCUUUCAAGUAUGAACCUGGCCUUGUGAAAGCAGAGCUCCAGUUACACAGUGUAUCCCGAAUCCAUGAAUGUUAUGAUGGUGCUAAUUUGAACCACUAAGAGGCCUUGUGAGAGUCUCUUCUUUCCCAGAAAAUGUGGGGAACACAGAGAGUGUCUUUCUGGAUAGACAUACCCAAGAAACUUCUGCUGAGGAAAGUGAAAGCAAAGAUACAACUUAUCCCAGAAAGGGGAGUGCAUAUGUAGAUGGUGAUAAGUAAUAUAGCCUGAAAUAUUCACAUGGAUAUAAUUAGAGUUAGGGUUAUAGUUAAGGAGGAAGGGAAGGGAGACAGAAAGAAAGCAAGUAAGAAAGGAAGCAAGAAAAGAUAAAACUGUGUCCAAGUUUCUUACUUGUAUUAAACAGAGUGUUUUUCUAGAUAUUGUUAACCAAGAUAAGGAAUCCCUAAAGAGAGGCAGGCUUGAUUUAGAGCUGUCUGAGGGCUUCCAAAAGAGCUGUUCAGUGAAUAAGAAGGAAUCCAACCAUGGAGCAUCAGAGUCUAAGUUGGAUGUAUAGGUUUGUGUGUCUUCAGUAUUGUCUUGUAUUUUAAGACAGAAUUAGAUGUGCCCAUCAGAAAUGAGUGUAUGGCAUGAAAAAGUUGCAGAUGGUAGGCCGCAGUGAACUCCAAUUGUUUGGAAGGCUUAACUUGAACCUUCCUAGGCUAGAGAAUUUUAAAUGACUGAGAUGUUUCUAAUGUGCCUAGAGCUUCUUUUCUAAUGAGCCCAGGGAGGGCUAGAAUCUCUAUCAGAGUUAGUCUGGGAUGUAAAGGGGAUCAGGAUGUGCCACCCCAAUAUAUGCCACUUUAGCCUAUGGAUUAUUUUGAGCAGUUAAAAAAUUAGAAAUAGCAGGCCUGGUGCAGUGGCUCAUGCCUGUAAUCUUAGCACUUUGGGAGACCGAGGCAGGUGGAUCACCUGAAGUCAAGAGUUCGAGACCAGCCUGGCCAACAUGGUGAAACCCCAUCUCUACUAAAAAAAAAAAAAAAAAAAAAAUACAAAAAUUAGCCAGGCGUGGUGUGGCACGCCUGUAAUACCAGCUACUCAGGAGGCUGAGGAAGGAGAAUUGCUUGAAGCCAGGAGGUAGAGGUUGCAAUGAGCCAAGAUCGUACCACUGCACUCCAGCCUGCGUGAUGGGAGCGAGACUCCAUCUCAAAAAAAAAAGAGAAAAAAAGAAAUUAGAAAUAGCAGACAUAUGAGGAUCUCUGACCUCCCUUUCCUGCUGAAAAGCAGGGCAUACAUUUUGCUUUUGUAAAAAAAUUUGCAUUUAUAAAAGCUUCCACCUCUCCCCUACCUGGAAGAGAAGGAAACUCUUCUACUCUAAUACUUGAAGGGGGCCUGCCUCUCCACACCUGUGGGUAUUUCUUGCAAGGUGGAGACGAGACACUGAGAAAAGAAAUAAGACACAGAGACAGUAUAGAGGAAGAAAAGUGGGCCAAGGGGACUGGUGCUCAGCAAGUGAGGACCUGCACCAGCAUUGGUCUCUGAGUUCCCUCAGUAUUUAUUGAUCACUAUCUCUACUAUCUUGGCGAGGGGGAUGUGGCAGGACUAUAGGGUAAUGGUGGCCAGAGGGUCAGCAGGAAAACAUGUGAGCAAAGGACUCUGUGUCAUAAAUAAGUUUAAGGAAAGGUGCUGUGCCUGGAUGUGCACAUAGGCCAGAUUUAUGUUUGACUUUACACAGACAUCUCAGUGCAGUAAAGAGCAGUAUUGCCGCCAGCAGGUCUCACUUCCAGCCAUAAGGCAGUUUUCUCCUAUCUCAGUAAAUAGAAUAUAUGAUCAGGUUUUACACUGAGACAUUCCAUUCCCAGGGACAAGCAGGAGACAGAUGCCUUCCUCUUGUCUCAGCUGCAAAGAGGCCUUCCUCUUUCACUAAUCCUCCUCAGCACGGACCCUUUAUGGGUGUCGGGCUGGGGGAUGGAGGUCUUUCCUUUCCUACAAGGCCAUAUCUCAGGCUAUCUCAGUGGCGGGAAACCUUAGACAAUACCCAGGCUUUCUUGGGCAGAGGUCCCUGUGGCCUUCCACAGUGCAUUGUGUCCCUGGGUACUUGAGAUUGGAGAAUGGUGAUGACUUUUACCAAGCAUACUGCCUGCAAACAUUUUUACCAAGGCACAUCCUGCACAGCCCUAAAUCCAUUAAAUCUUGAGUCAAUAUAGCACAUGUUUCUGCGAGCACAGGGUUGGGGCUAGGGUUACAGAUUAACAGCAUCUCAAGGCAGAAGAAUUUUUCUUAGUACAGAUCAAAAUGGAGUUUCUUAUGUCUUCCUUUUUCUACAUAGACACAGUAACAGUCUGAUCUCUCUUUCUUUCCCCCACAAUGCUUGUUUGAGGACAUGUAUUAUCACCAGAGAGGACUUGAAACUGCAUAACAAACCGUACUUGCCAGACAUUUCCUAAUCACCUUCUCACUGUUUACUCCCUCCCCCUAUAAUCGAUAAUCGCAAAGCUUCCUUUCCCUUUGACUAUUCUAUUCUCUUCACAAUUUAUCACCCCUUGUUAAAUGGUAUAUAAGCCCCCAGCCCUAAACUCCUACUUGGGUUUUCACUUCUCUUUUGUGAAGCCUCAUUAUGUAUGCAAAAUAAAAUUUUUCUACUGU